rnacentral:rRNA from 1 species
GACAGAGGUGCCAAGCGUUAGGCGGAAUCACUGGGCUUAAAGCGUGUGUAGGCGGACUGGUAAGUACCUUGUGAAAUCCCACGGCUCAACCGUGGAACUGCUCGGUAUACUGCUCGUCUUGAGCCACUUAGGGGCUGUCGGAACAAACGGUGGAGCGGUGAAAUGCGUAGAUAUCAGGAAGAACACCAAUGGCGAAGGCAGCUCUCUGGGACGGUACUGACGCUGAGACGCGAAAGCGUGGGGAGCGAACAGG